AAACCUGGUGGUAUACGAUGGUUCCGCGUCUGAUUAGCUAGUUGGUGGGGUAAUGGCCUACCAAGGCAACGAUCAGUAGCCGGCCUGAGAGGGUGAACGGCCACAUUGGGACUGAGACACGGCCCAAACUCCUACGGGAGGCAGCAG
rnacentral:rRNA from 1 species